ensembl:lncRNA
GCAUCCCAUUGCAUCCUACUGCAUCCCAUUGCAUCCCACUGCAUCCCACUGCAUCCCACUGCUUCCCAUUGCGUCCCACUGCAUCCCAUUGCAUCCCACUGCAUCCCAUUACAUCCCACUGCAUCCCAUUGCAUCCCACUGCACCUCACUGCAUCCCACUGUAUCCCAUUGCAUCCCACUGAUUCCCACUGCAUCCCAUUGCAUCCCAUGCCAUCCCACUGCAUCCCAUUACAUCCCACUGCAUCCCACUGCAUCCCAUUGCACCCCAUUGCAUCCCACUGCAUCCCACUGCAUGUCUUGACAUCCCACUGCAUCCCGCUGCACCCCAUUACAUCCCACUGCAUCCCCUGAUCUCCCACUGCACCCACAGCCUCUCAGCCCCCUCUCAGGAAUGCACUGGAGCUGCAUCAGGACUGCACUGCGGUUGCACCAGGGUUGCACUGAAGUUGCACCCGGGUUGUAGCAGGGAUGCACCAAGAGCACAGCAGGGUUGCAUCAAAGAUGCACCAGGGGUGCAGCAGGGUUGCACCAAAAUUGCAUCAGGAUGCACUGGGGUUGCACCAGGAUUGCAUCAGAGAUGCACCAGGGUUGCACCAGGGAUGCAGUAAGAGUGCAUCAGAAUUGUGUCAGGGUUGCACCAUCUGAGAUGCAUCAGAAUUGUGUCAGGGAUGCAGUGAGGUUGCACCAGGGAUGCACCAGGAUUGCAUCAGGAUGCACCAAGGAUGCACCAAGAGUGCACCAGGGUUGCACCAGGGUUUCAUCAGGGAUGCACUGAGGUUGCACCAAGGAUGCACCAGGGUUGGAGCAGGGUUGCAUCAGGGAUGCAGUGAGAUUGCACCAAGGGUGCACCAGGAUUGCAUCAGAGAUGCACCAAGGUUGCACCGGGAAUGCACCAAGAGUGCACUGAAGUUGCACCAGGGUUCCAUCAAGGAUGCACUGAGGAUGCACCAAGGUUGCACCGGAGUUGCACCAGGGUUAUAUAAGGGCUGCACUGAAGUUGCACCAGGGUUGCAUCAGGAUGCACUGGGGUUGCACCAGGGGUGCACCAGGGUUUCAUCAGGGAUGCACCAAGGUUGCACCAGGGGUGCACCAGGAUUGCAUCAGAGAUGUACCAGGCUUGCACCAAGGAUGCACCAGGGAUGCACUAAGAAUGCACCAGGCUUGCAUCAGGGGUGCACCAAGAAUGCACCAGGGAUGCACCAGGAUUGCAUCGGAGAUGCACCAGGCUUGCACCAAGGAUGCACCAGGCUUGCACCAAGAAUGCACCAGGCUUGCAUCAGAGAUGCACCAGGCUUGCAUCAGAAUUGUGUCAGGGAUGCAGUGAGAUUGCACCAGGAUUGCAUCAGAGAUGCACCAAGGUUGCAUCAGAGAUGCACCAGGGUUGCAUUGGAGAUGCACCAGGCUUGCACCAAGGAUGCACCAGGGAUGCACCAAGAAUGCACCAAGCUUGCAUCAGAGAAUGCAACCUCAACCCAACCCCCCCAUUGCUCUCUCCCUGCGCCCCCUUUGCAUCCCCUCAAAACCAAGAGGGGGCAGGAGGUGGGAACACCCCGCCCCCCCCCCAAAACAAACAAACAAACAAACAAACAAACAAACCAACAAACCCACCCCCUUUUCUGCUUUGCUUUGCUUUGCAUUGCAGCAACAUCGCCGAGGCUUUGGUGA